rnacentral:lncRNA from 1 species
ACAUAUAUUUCAACUUGGCUCUGAUACCAGUUGAAAGAAAGAAAAACAGUUUUUCUUCGGGAUGCCCAGGUUGUAUCUAAAAUUUUUUUAAUAUUCAACUUAUUUAAUGAUCAAAUUCUUAUCUGAAACAUAGUAGAAUCAGAGAUCAAAUCUCAAAUUAUCUGAUAUAAGCCUUCACGGAGGUCUGGAUGUGCAGACCCUCUAUUUCGCAUGCACGUCAGA